CCUACGGGAGGCAGCAGUGGGGAAUAUUGCACAAUGGGCGCAAGCCUGAUGCAGCCAUGCCGCGUGUGUGAAGAAGGCCUUCGGGUUGUAAGCACUUUCAGCGGGGAGGAAGGCGGUGAGGUUAAUAACCCCAUCGAUUGACGUUACCCGCAGAAGAAGCACCGGCUAACUCCGUGCCAGCAGCCGCGGUAAUACGGAGGGUGCAAGCGUUAAUCGGAAUUACUGGGCGUAAAGCGCACGCAGGCGGUCUGUCAAGUCGGAUGUGAAAUCCCCGGGCUCAACCUGGGAACUGCAUUCGAAACUGGCAGGCUAGAGUCUUGUAGAGGGGGGUAGAAUUCCAGGUGUAGCGGUGAAAUGCGUAGAGAUCUGGAGGAAUACCGGUGGCGAAGGCGGCCCCCUGGACAAAGACUGACGCUCAGGUGCGAAAGCGUGGGGAGCAAACAGGAUUAGAUACCCGGGUAGUC
rnacentral:rRNA from 1 species